rnacentral:rRNA from 1 species
UACGAAGGGGGCUAGCGUUGCUCGGAAUUACUGGGCGUAAAGCGCACGUAGGCGGCUUUCUAAGUCGGGGGUGAAAUCCUGGAGCUCAACUCCAGAACUGCCUUCGAUACUGGAGAGCUCGAGUCCGGGAGAGGUGAGUGGAACUGCGAGUGUAGAGGUGAAAUUCGUAGAUAUUCGCAAGAACACCAGUGGCGAAGGCGGCCCACUGGCCCGGUACUGA